GACGAGCGCUGGCGGCGUGCUUAACACAUGCAAGUCGAACGGAAAGGCCCUGCUUUUGUGGGGUGCUCGAGUGGCGAACGGGUGAGUAACACGUGAGUAACCUGCCCUUGACUUUGGGAUAACUUCAGGAAACUGGGGCUAAUACCGGAUAGGAGCUCCUGCUGCAUGGUGGGGGUUGGAAAGUUUCGGCGGUUGGGGAUGGACCCGCGGCUUAUCAGCUUGUUGGUGGGGUAGUGGCUUACCAAGGCUUUGACGGGUAGCCGGCCUGAGAGGGUGACCGGCCACAUUGGGACUGAGAUACGGCCCAGACUCCUACGGGAGGCAGCAGUGGGGAAUAUUGCACAAUGGGCGGAAGCCUGAUGCAGCAACGCCGCGUGCGGGAUGACGGCCUUCGGGUUGUAAACCGCUUUCGCCUGUGACGAAGCGUGAGUGACGGUAAUGGGUAAAGAAGCACCGGCUAACUACGUG
rnacentral:rRNA from 1 species